rnacentral:rRNA from 1 species
AGGACGAACGCUGGCGGCGUGCUUAACACAUGCAAGUCGAGCGGAAAGGCCCUUCGGGGCACUCGAGCGGCGAACGGGUGAGUAACACGUGAGCAACCUGCCCUUAGCUUCGGGAUAGCUCCGGGAAACCGGAAUUAAUACCGAAUAUGACUGCGGCUGACAUCAGCCACGGUGGAAAGUUUUUCGGCUAGGGAUGGACUCGCGGCCUAUCAGCUAGUUGGUGAGGUAACGGCCCACCAAGGCGACGACGGGUA